GGGGACAGUAACAAGAUUUUGCUUAAGGCGACCACUGAUAUUCAAUUGCUUUUGAGUGUCCAAACUAUCUGGAAUUACUGGUGGUUUGGGUUCGGUUUUCAAAUUUGGCGUACUAGUUGACCCUUGUGGCAAAAUCUUGUGUGAAAACAUACAAGUAUCUCCUCUAGGGCAUGAACCAUUGGACACAAAAUUGCUACAAGGAUACUUGGAUAGCUGAUGAUCAAAUGGACAGUCACCACCUUUCAUACAUGAAUGACGUGCAAAAUAAC
rnacentral:misc_RNA from 1 species